rnacentral:rRNA from 1 species
GAUGAACGCUGGCGGCGUGCCUAAUACAUGCAAGUCGAGCGAACAGACGAGGAGCUUGCUCCUCUGACGUUAGCGGCGGACGGGUGAGUAACACGUGGAUAACCUACCUAUAAGACUGGGAUAACUUCGGGAAACCGGAGCUAAUACCGGAUAAUAUAUUGAACCGCAUGGUUCAAUAGUGAAAGACGGUUUUGCUGUCACUUAUAGAUGGAUCCGCGCCGCAUUAGCUAGUUGGUAAGGUAACGGCUUACCAAGGCAACGAUGCGUAGCCGACCUGAGAGGGUGAUCGGCCACACUGGAACUGAGACACGGUCCAGACUCCUACGGGGGGCAGCAGUGGGGAAUCUUCGGCAAUGGGGGAAAGCCUGACGGAGCAACGCCGCGUGAGUGAUGAAGGUCUUCGGAUCGUAAAACUCUGUUAUUAGGGAAGAACAAAUGUGUAAGUAACUAUGCACGUCUUGACGGUACCUAAUCAGAAAGCCACGGCUAACUACGUG